rfam:Triticum aestivum genome assembly, contig: Triticum_aestivum_CS42_TGACv1_scaffold_500414_6BL
AUUCUACUCCCUCCGUUGCACAAUACAUGCCUUCUAUUUGUCAAAAUAUAUAUGUAUCUAGACAUGUUUUAGUAUAUAGGUACAUCCAUUUUUGGCCAAAUGGAAGUCAAGUAUUUUGGAAUGGAGUGAGUACACA